AACGAACGCUGGCGGCAGGCCUAAAACAUGCAAGUCGAACGGGUGUAGCAAUACAUCAGUGGCGCACGGGUGAGUAACGCGUGGGAACGUGCCCUUCAGUACGGGACAACGUCGGGAAACUGACGCUAAUACCGUAUAAUAUCUCCGGAUCAAAGAUUUAUCGCUGAAGGAGCGGCCCGCGUCUGAUUAGCUAGUUGGUGGGGUAAUGGCCUACCAAGGCUACGAUCAGUAGCUGGUCUGAGAGGAUGAUCAGCCACACUGGGACUGAGACACGGCCCAGACUCCUACGGGAGGCAGCAGUUAGGAAUAUUGGACAAUGGGCGAAAGCCUGAUCCAGCCAUGCCGCGUGUGUGAUGAAGGCCCUAGGGUUGUAAAGCACUUUCGUUGGGGAUGAUAAUGACCGUACCCAAACGAAGAAGCCACGGCUAAUUACGUUGCCAGCAGCCG
rnacentral:rRNA from 1 species